GAUGAACGCUGGCGGCGUGCCUAAUACAUGCAAGUCGAGCGAACGGACGAGAAGCUUGCUUCUCUGAUGUUAGCGGCGGACGGGUGAGUAACACGUGGAUAACCUACCUAUAAGACUGGGAUAACUCCGGGAAACCGUAGCUAAUACCGGAUAAUAUUUUGAACCGCAUGGUUCAAAAGUGAAAGACGGUCUUGCUGUCACUUAUAGAUGGAUCCGCGCUGCAUUAGCUAGUUGGUAAGGUAACGGCUUACCAAGGCAACGAUGCAUAGCCGACCUGAGAGGGUGAUCGGCCACACUGGAACUGAGACACGGUCCAGACUCCUACGGGAGGCAGCAGUAGGGAAUCUUCCGCAAUGGGCGAAAGCCUGACGGAGCAACGCCGCGUGAGUGAUGAAGGUCUUCGGAUCGUAAAGCUCUGUUAUUAGGGAAGAACAUAUGUGUAAGUAGCUGUGCACAUCUUGACGGUACCUAAUCAGAAAGCCACUGCUAACUACGUG
rnacentral:rRNA from 1 species